GCACUUGUCGGGCCCGGGAUGAGCGCUGGCAUGUAUUAUCUGAGCGGAGCUGAUGUCUCUCACCGCUUUAGCUCUAGAAUUACUCUGAGGCGCGGCAAGCCCCCGAUCGCUCCGGCAGUGGAGCUUUUCCCACUUGUGGGAUCGAGUCCUCGUGGCAGCCUGGGAGGCAGCUUGAGGAGAGGGGGACUUGGUUGGGAUCUGCCCCAUUGCCCGGUGGGCUGAGCCGUGGGUUCUGUGCCCCGGCAGGGCUCUCACGUGGCCCGAGUUCCAUGGCUUGGCAGUUUGUGUCCAGGUGUCCGUUUGAGCCUGGGACGUUCUGGCCAGCCCAGAUGUAUGAUCCAGCAUUGUUGAGAGUCCCCAUGGCCGCAGGUGCUGGUGGGGUGUGUCAGGUGUCCGUUUGAGCCUGGGACGUUCUGGGCCAGCCCAGAUGUAUGAUCCAGCAUUGUUGAGAGUCCCAUGGCCACAGGUGCUGGUGGGGUGUGUCAGGUGUCCGGUUGAGCCUGGGACGUUCUGGCCAGCCCAGAUGUAUGAUCCAGCAUUGUUGAGAGUCCCCAUGGCCGCAGGUCCUGGUGGGGUGUGUCAGGUGUCCGGUUGAGCCUGGGAUGUUCUGGCCAGCCCAGAUGUAUGAUCCAGCAUUGUUGAGAGUCCCCAUGGCCGCAGGUCCUGGUGGGGUGUGUCAGGUGUCCGUUUGAGCCUGGGACGUUCUGGCCAGCCCAGAUGUAUGAUCCAGCAUGGUUGAGAGUCCCCAUGGCCGCAGGUCCUGGUGGGGUGUGUCAGGUGUCCGUUUGAGCCUGGGACGUUCUGGCCAGCCCAGAUGUAUGAUCCAGCAUGGUUGAGAGUCCCCAUGGCCGCAGGUCCUGGUGGGGUGUGUCAGGUGAGGUUUGAGGUGACUCAUGUACCAGCAAGGUGCCGGGGCUUUGGAUGUGCAGUGGGAUCUGCAGCAGCUGGGAAGGUGUUGCUGGGUGUGUGCUCAGGGACAGGCAGCUCCCUGUGGCUGUGCUGGGCUCCUGUCAGCUCCCAAGGCAUU